rnacentral:tRNA from 1 species
GCGGGAAUAGCUCAAUUGGUAGAGCACCAGCCUUCCAAGCUGGUCGUCGCGGGUUCAAUCCCCGUUUCCCGCUCCA